rnacentral:tRNA from 1 species
GCGGGCGUGGCGGAAUGGUAGACGCACGAGACUUAAAAUCUUGCGCCUGAAAAGGCUUACGGGUUCGAGUCCCGUCGCCCGUA